GUGUUUGCUUUGGCAGCACAUAUACUAAAUUAGGAGCAA
rnacentral:snRNA from 1 species